rnacentral:lncRNA from 1 species
ACGCCGCAAAGUUCUGUUCUCAGUUUUCAUAAAAUGGUGUCGUUUUGCCUGGGCAUUAGUGGCGCUACUAAAAAACGCCGCAAAAAAUUCUUAAUAAUGAAGAUAAAACGGUGCAAUUUUUGGCUGUGAAUUUAAUGGGUUUUACGGCUCUAAGGGAAAAACGCCGCUAAAGGUGGUCAUUAGCGACGCUAAGGAAAAAAAGCCGCAAAGUUUUGUUCUCAGUUUUCGUAAAAUGGUG